rnacentral:rRNA from 1 species
AUUAGAGUUUGAUCAUGGCUCAGAUUGAACGCUGGCGGCAUGCCUUACACAUGCAAGUCGAACGGCAGCGCGGGAGCAAUCCUGGCGGCGAGUGGCGAACGGGUGAGUAAUAUAUCGGAACGUGCCCAGUAGUGGGGGAUAGCCCGGCGAAAGCCGGAUUAAUACCGCAUACGACCUGAGGGUGAAAGCGGGGGAUCGCAAGACCUCGCGCUACUGGAGCGGCCGAUACCAGAUUAGCUAGUUGGUGGGGUAAAGGCCUACCAAGGCGACGAUCCCUAGCUGGUCUGAGAGGAUGAUCAGCCACACUGGAACUGAGACACGGUCCAGACUCCUACGGGAGGCAGCAGUGGGGAAUAUUGGACAAUGGGCGAAAGCCUGAUCCAGCAAUGCCGCGUGAGUGAUGAAGGCCUUAGGGUUGUAAAGCUCUUUUACCCGGGAUGAUAAUGACAGUACCGGGAGAAUAAGCUCCGGCUAACUCCGUGCCAGCAGCCGCGGUAAUAAUC